rnacentral:rRNA from 1 species
AUGAACGCUGGCGGCGUGCCUAAUACAUGCAAGUCGAGCGAACAGACGAGGAGCUUGCUCCUCUGACGUUAGCGGCGGACGGGUGAGUAACACGUGGAUAACCUACCUAUAAGACUGGGAUAACUUCGGGAAACCGGAGCUAAUACCGGAUAAUAUAUUGAACCUCAUGGUUCCAUAGUGAAAGACGGUUUUGCUGUCACUUAUAGAUGGAUCCGCGCCGCAUUAGCUAGUUGGUAAGGUAACGGCUUACCAAGGCAACGAUGCGUAGCCGACCUGAGAGGGUGAUCGGACAGACUGGAACUGAGACACGGUCCAGACUCCUACGGGAGGCAGCAGUAGGGAAUCUUCCGCAAUGGGCGAAAGCCUGACGGAGCAACGCCGCGUGAGUGAUGAAGGUCUUCGGAUCGUAAAACUCUGUUAUUAGGGAAGAACAAAUGUGUAAGUAACUAUGAACGUCUUGACGGUACCUAAUCAGAAAGCCACGGCUAACUACGUG